rnacentral:tRNA from 1 species
GUCUUUGUAGCUUAAUACCCAAAGCAUUG